UCGAAUUACUUUCAUUUUUGAAACAAUUAUACUACUCAGUAUUAUAAAUUAAUUGACCGGUUUUGAUUUUAAUUAUAUUAUCUAAAACUACAAAAAUAUAGUGUAUUGGAUGAACUUGGAGGGAAUGUGUAAUGGAGGGGAGCCAAGUCCGUGGAAAUUCAAAUGCAACACCUAACCCAUACCAGCUAUGAGCGGCAAUAGAGUAAUAUCGUGUGUUAGUUAAAUAGUGAACAAAUUAUCUAAAUGGAAUCAGUAAAUUUCAAAAAUCUUAUAGAAAUUAGAAUAUGACCCAUCAUUAUGCAAAUAUACCAUUAAAACUCAACUAACCAAUGCUCCUACUUACACUUUCAUUGUGUUCCAAGUUGUAAAAUGGAUGGAAAAUAAAAUAAAAUGACAGAAAACGCAGUUCUCUUGUUUUUUAUUUUUUUAUUGAAUAGAGAAGGAAAAUAUAAUUUACAAAAAGUUGGUCAUUUUUCUUGCCAAAAUUUUCGGUCAAAAAUGAACUGAUUUGUACAAAAAACUAAAUAACAUAACCUCCACAUACAUCCCAACAAAAUUAAUCUAAAAAUAAAAUAGUAAUCUUAAUCUAAAUGUAAAACAUAAGUUUCUUUCAUUAUUCCUUUAUAAACUCAAUACCAGCCUGAAAGAAAAGUUAAAAGUUUUAUGUUCUUUUCUUUUCUAUCAUAAAAUUUAAGUGUUCCAUUCUUUUCUUCUCAUCUCCUUGCUAAUUCUUUCCAUGAUAUUCUAAGUGGACUAGUGUUACCCUCUUUUUGAAGGAGUGUCAUGACUCGUGAUUUUAUUUUUUUUUCAAAAAAAAAAGUACUCUCUAGCUCAAAAUCAGUUAUAACUAUCAAAAACUGUUCUUCCCACUAAAGGUAAGCUCAUUCACCCAAUAAAUUACUCAUAAUCACCUAAAUAAAAAUCCAAGCACUUUUUCAUCAAACUUAGAGCAAAGUACGACUCUCUCUCUAGCUUUAAACAUGUAAAAUCAUAUAUGAUGACUACCCACAACUCAUUAUUAUUGAAACAAUAACAAAAUAAAAAUUAACAACGAAUUGGCAAUAGAGUUCAUAAAUAAAGACUACGCAUCAUCUAUCACCUACAUAUCAGCAAUAAAAUACACGAAAAAGUUUAUUAAAUUUAAAUUUUAAAAAAAAAUUAAAAAAAACUAUAAUUAUAAUACCAUAAAGUAUUUAAAAUACCUUUUUUCACAUGUAAAUUGAUGGAAGCACAGAAAAUUGGUCCCGCGUUAUUCUAAACCAAUGAACCGGAGGUCUACGUCUCGCAUCCAAGGCGUGAAUUGAACGAGAAGGGGCAACAACUGAAUCGAAAUUUGAAAUAAAUUCAAAGAUGAAGAUGCUGAUGAAGAUGAGCUUCUGCCUAUGAAAUCCAUAUAAAAAGAUGGCUGCCGAUGAGAGAGAAAUUAAGAGAAAAAUCGAUGUUCUCCUUCCUCUCAGGGUUUGUGAUGGUGGUGCCGGAAAAAGAUUUGGGGGCGGAGGAGAAAAUAAAGAAAAGUCAAAGACGCAUAAUCCACCACUUGUGGCGAAUUGUAAUUACUUAAUUACCCUUGGACUGGAGAAAUAUUUUUUUACUGAUGGA
rnacentral:lncRNA from 1 species